rnacentral:rRNA from 1 species
GACGAACGCUGGCGGCGUGCUUAACACAUGCAAGUCGAACGGAAAGGCCCUGCUUUUGUGGGGUUCUCGAGUGGCGAACGGGUGAGUAACACGUGUGUAACCUGCCCUUGACUUUGGGAUAACUUCAGGAAACUGCGGCUAAUACCGGAUAUGAGCUCCUGCUCCAUGGUGGGGGUUGGAUAGUUUCGGCGGUUGGGGAUGGACUCGCGGCUUAUCAGCUUGUUGGUGGGGUAGUGGCUUACCAAGGCUUUGACGGGUAGCCGUCCUGAGAGGGUGACCGGGCACAUGGGGACUGAGGUAGGGCGCAGAAUCCUACGGGCGGCAGCAGGGGGGAAUCUGGCACAAUGGGCGGAAGCCUGAUGCAGCAACCCUGCGUGCGGGAUGACCGCCUACGGGUGGAAAACCGAUUUCGACGGUGACGAAGCGUGAGUGACGGUAACGAGUAAAGAAGCACCGGCUAACUACGUG